AAACAACCGUUAGCGGGGUAU
rnacentral:rRNA from 1 species